rnacentral:rRNA from 1 species
CACAUGCAAGUAUCAGCACCCCAGUGAGGAAACCCUAUAGCCUCUACAAGGCCAAGGAAUUGGUAUCAGGCACAAAACUACUGCCCACAACACCUAGUCCCACCACACCCAUAAGGGUAAUCAGCAGUGACAAAAAUUGCCUAUGGGCGUCAGCCUAAAUCAGCCAGGAAAGACAGAGCCGGCAAACUAAGUGCCAGCCGCCGCGGCUACACCGACGGGCUCAAGUUGAUAAUAACCGGCGUUAAACGUGAUUAAAGGAACACCUAAUUAGAGUUGAACUUAAACUUAGUUGUAAAAAGCUUACUUCAACGGAAACCCAUAAUCGAAAGUUACUCUAAUGCCUCUCUUGAAUACACGACAAUUUGGGCACAAACUGAGAUUAGAUA